UACAGAGGGGGCAAGCGUUAUCCGGAUUCACUGGGCGUAAAGCGCGUGCAGGCGGUGCGGUAAGUUAGGCGUUGAAAUCUCCCGGCUCAACUGGGAGAGGUCGUCUAAUACUACCGUACUUGAGAGCAGAAGAGGAAGAUGGAAUUCCCGGUGUAGUGGUGAAAUGCGUAGAUAUCGGGAGGAACACCAGUGGCGAAGGCGAAUCUUCUGGUCUGUUUCUGACGCUCAGACGCGACAGCUAGGGUA
rnacentral:rRNA from 1 species